rfam:TPA: Bos taurus chromosome 10, whole genome shotgun sequence.
GUCUACGGCCAUACCAUCCUGAAUGUGCCCAAUCUCAUCUGAUCUCGGAAGCUAAGCAGGGUCAGGUUGGUACUUGGAUGGGAGACCAUUCCCACAGUAGUAGUCCUGACCU